GCGUGUGAACGUUGUGUGCCUGGCAGUUAGAGCAGUCGAACAGUAAAACAGUCGAAUAGUCGCAGUCACUGUUAGCAAGCGUGAACAGUCACUGAGUCGCAGUCACCGUGAAGCGUCGCGUGCUUUUUCCACGGAACAAAGUAAACGAAGGGUACCCGAAAAAAAAAAAAACAAUAAAAAUAAAUUUAAAUAAAAUGAUGCGCUUAUAAAAUGCCCAAUGCCUCCACCCACUGCAUGAGCUGAACUCAAGAGAGACAAAACAGAGAGAGAGAGAGAGAGAGAGAGAGAGAGUGCCAGAGAAAUGGAAAAUUUGAACAACGACAAUUUUGCCACGUUGCAAAUAUAAAUUGCAUGUGCAAUGACUUUAUUUGUGUCAACACAACUCGAAAACUAAACAAAAAAAAAACAACAAGAACAACAGCAACAAAAACAAACAACAUAAGAAACAAAGCCCAUUUUAUUCGCAUUGUUGAUCAACGCUCAGCAACAACAACAACAACAACAACAACAGCGGCAACAUUGAACAACAAUUGACAUCACGCAUACGCAGCGUUUGACGCCGCAUUUUUGCUGCAAAACGCAAAAAUUUUGUGUGUUAAUUGGUCGUGGCGAAUGGACAAUUUGCGAAUAAAGUUGCAGCACAGCAGCAACUGAACGGCCAAGAAUAACAUAGCACCAACAAAAACAACCACAAGAGGCAGCAACUUGCAACGAGCCAAAUUGUUGCAUACUUUGGCAGUUACAACGAGCUCACGGACACACUUACGGCGGCAACAUGUCGAUGUUGUCGGCGACAACAACAGGAGCUGCAGCAGCAGCAGCAGCGGCAGCAGCAAGAGCAACUCGACGCAGGGCCAGAGCACGCAGUGUUGCCAACACAUUUCAAUUGCUGGCAAUCGCCUUUUAUUGUUGCUGUCAAUUUGAGCUGUUGUUGGUGCAGGCACAGCUGCAG
rnacentral:sRNA from 1 species